rnacentral:sRNA from 1 species
CAUGGUGUAAUAUACUAAGAGUAGUUUAAAUUAACAAAUUUUAAAUUUUUCAUUCAUCUGAAAAACUCUUAAAAAAAUUAAUUUACAACGAACAAAUAUUGAGUGCAAAAGCACUGGGAGGUUUUUUCUAUGAAUGAAGGAACAGUAAAAUGGUUUAACGGCGAAAAAGGAUUCGGUUUCAUCACACAGGAGCAGGGUGACGAUGUAUUCGUACAUUUCUCAGCAAUCCAGGCUGACGGUUACAAAACUCUUGAAGAAGGUCAAAAAGUGAACUUUGAUGUAGAAGAAGGUCAGCGUGGUCCACAGGCGACUAACGUUACGGCUGUCUAAUCUAUAAUUAAUAUAAAACUUUGAAGGAACGGCUGCGGCCGUUCCUUUUUUU